UUCUUCUUCUCUCUCCUGCCUCUCUCUUCCUCAAGCACUCCUCUCAUCUUUGUCCCGAGCCCUCUCACUCAUCCCAAGCGCUCCCCUCCUCAAUGUCUCGAGCCCUCUCACUAACCCUAAGUGCUUCCCUCCUCGCCUCUGUCCUCAUCGCCGUCAUCGACUUUCUAGUUGCGGCUCUAGAACUUGUCAGCCGCCAACUGGCCUCUCGAGCUUCUUUGUCUUCUACUCUUUAUUCGGUCCCGAUUUCAAGCUCGAGUAUGUAGCCAAGGAUUUUGAAGCAAAAGAGGUUUGCAAGGCUAGAUAUACUAGUGGCAAUGCUAAGUUUUGGGGUUUCGAUGACACCAUGACUGCCAUGAGGGAUAUUGUGGCGGGGAGAGAGAGGCAUAGGGGUACCAUGAGAUCUCUCUUUCUCCUUUGCCUUUUUUUUUCUUUUAUAUUGCCUCUGUUUCAGGAGGCAUGGAGGCUUGGUCAUAGAGGCUGCUUUGGCUUCUAAGUCAAGUCGGAGUCGGAGAGCUUAUCAGGAGGCUAAGGAGGAGAGCUCUUUGUCGGCCCUUUUGACUCUUGAAGGAAGUCAUGUCCGGCCAUUCCACCGGAGUAUUUGUCAUCAUAACUUUUGAGGGCUUCCACUGAGUGCGCUAAGGGAGAGAAUGAUUUGUCUGGCUUAGUGAAGAUGGGGGAACCCCCACACAGCCAACAGCUGGGAAGUAAACCCUAGGGAGGCACGUAGGAAACCACCACCCACGCACCACGGGUAAGUCGUCAAAUGAUCCGUCAGCCUCCCUGCAACUUGCGUUACAGGGGCUUCGAACUCCAAACCUCCUACGUGGAAGUCCGGAGCCUACCCAACGGAGCCACCGCGGCGGGUGUCCCUCGAAUGGAUUGAUGAGCUGAUAGAAGAACGCAAAUGAGGCGAAUCACCUCCUAUUUUGAGUGAGAAUGUAUGUGUUGCAAACUCUAUGAAGAAAGAGGAUAGUGAAUUUUCUCCAUGUUUACAUAUCAGUCCCUCGAAUGGAACGAUGAGCUGAUGGAAGAGCGCGGGAGAGGCAAAUCACCUCCUGUUUUGAGCGAGGAUGUAUGUGUUGCAAACUCGGUGAAGAAAGAUGAUGGUUUUAUUACUGUUCCUGAAUAAAUGAAUGGGACAGACUUCUCCGAGUGAGAUGGGAGAAAUAUCAAAGUGAGGAGGAAGCGGCUCUUGGUUUAGGAAAGAGUGUCAAAAAAGUUAUUUCUUACAAAGAAGCAUAUACAGCACAUCCAAGUGAAAUGGCCAAUGAGUGCUGUACGAUAUGAUGCAGAUUUUGAGAGAAGUUUUGAAAGGCCACAUGGUAGCUACAAAUGUGAGGAAGAAUUUUGAAGAUGAAGGACGACAGUUCAUUGACGAAUGACAUAAGUAACAAAAACUGGGCGUUGAAACUAUUACUAUGAAGGCGUUAUUUGUGAUCUUGGAGGCAACUUGUGAUGUUGUGAUAGCUGUCCCGACCUUUCAUAUUAAGUACCUUGAUCCUCCUCUCAAGGUAGUUCAUAGCUAUUUGAGGGGUCUUGCCUUGAGUUAGAUGCAUUAAUUGAUGUCAUUUGUCUUAUCAUACUUGAUUGAGAUAAUUUAGUUGUCUCAUUUUAUGAUUUUCCAUUUCCACCGGAUUCCACUAGAGAAAUGGCAAUGUCCUAAGUGCCGCUUGAAAAAUAAUUCAAUUGAGCCGAUAAGCCAUCUCGAUUCCAGUUUGUAGCGAGCUCAAACGAAAAUCGUGGGUCAAGAUCCAAGACAUUGUCUGGCACGGAGAAAGUAUCUCAAAUGCUUGGUGGCUCCCAUUUUCCAAGCAAGAGGUCUUUGAGUGGAGGGAACUCUGUUGUAACACCUGAAGUUCAGCCAUUGGAAGCUAAGCCAGAUCUGUCCCUAGGAGAGGACCCAUGCACCAUCAAGCCUGGUACUUCAGAAUCUGACCCUAAUUCACGAGGAUUAAUUCACUGAUUUUUUUUUCAGUCAUUUCUCUGAUCACGGAAGCCCCUUUACCAUUAUGUAUAAAUGCGCCAUUCGAUUUAUAUGGACACGGGAGAGGGGUGCAUUCAGACCUUCUUAUUUGUUCAUUAGGGCCUCCUUUUUAUCUUCAUUGCGGGAAAGAGCAGAUGGGUAGCUCGCAUGGAAUUCUCCCUUUAUGUGAUUAGAAGCUCGGCUGGGAAAAUUCUAAGGUACGAUACUGGUGAAGAAAAGAAGACAGGUUACAUUCGAAAAACACCACAAUUCACUAUCCAAUAUUAAAUGUGCCAAGACAGGGUACUUUAGUAGUGUCUAUUGGGGUGUAACUACAUGGUAUCAUGUCAUCCAAUCAAUCUGGGCUACCUUAAUCUUUGAAUGUAAAGUUAAAAAUUGCAUCCAUUAUUUGUCUACCACGGCGAUGGAGACGAGAUAUAUAGUUUCCAUCCCAGAUGGGCUCUGUAGACUUGGGCCCAAAAAUUUCACUUCGGGCCAAGCCCACCUUGUUCCUU